rnacentral:rRNA from 1 species
GACGAACCGUGCGAACGUUAUUCGGAAUCACUGGGCUUAAAGCGCGUGUAGGCGGGACGGCACGUCGGUCGCUGAAAUCCCCCGGCUUAACCGGGGAACUGGCGUCGAUACGACCGUCCUGGAGGGGCGUAGGGGGACCUGGAACUUCCGGUGGAGCGGUGAAAUGCGUUGAGAUCGGAAGGAACGCCCGUGGCGAAAGCGAGGUCCUGGACGCCUACUGACGCUGAGACGCGAAAGCCAGGGGAGCGAACGGGG